rnacentral:lncRNA from 1 species
AUCGUGAAGACCACAGUUUCCUGUCGCGUGGAUGUGUUUCCUCUCUGGCCAUUGCCAUCCGCCCAAAUCUACAGACAUCCCGCAUGUUCCCGGGCUCGUCUCCCCAAUACAGGGCACCAAGACUGCGCAGCCCUCCUGGAGACAGAUGGAAGCUCCUUGGGUCGACAGAUUACAGCUUCUGGAACCCCCUACUCCCUUCAACUCCGAGAUGGACACCCACUGUCCAGGGAGAGGAUGCCUGGAAAUAACAGCUGGGAUCUACAGUGGCCAAAGAGUUGUCUCCGUCUUGCUACAUCGACAAACUGGUGCUCCUGAGUGAGGAUUGUGCCCUGGGAUGGGGGAUUCAGUUUCUUCAUUUAUAGUUGGAAGUGGGUGAAGCCACUUCGGAAGCGUUUUCCUCUCCACUCUGACAACAGGCAAGAGUGAGGGUCCAACAAUACAGAGGAAGUAACGUGUCGCUGCUACUCUUCCAUGCCCAGUGCCAGGAGCGACGGUACACUCCAGAGUGCUGUGCCCUGAUGGGCCUUUGAGUGGCCAGUGCAGUGGAUCAUCAGCCCUGUCUCCCAAGAGCUCCAGUCCCUUCUCCGGAGAGGAAGUGGGUCCACUGGCAGCUCAGGAGGCCAUAGCAGGAUUGUCACGUGUGCUCAACAGUCCUCCUCGGCUUUCCAGAAGAGGCUGGAACAGGGCCCUUGAAGAUGUUUGUGGACAUCAGAGGGCCAAAGACGACACAAAGUGAAACUGGAGACACCGCCCCCCCUUGGCAUCAUGAAACUGCCGAUGUUACUGGCUCAUGCAUGGGAGACACCAGCAUACAAAGUCUUGACACCAACACCUCAGAGGGCUGUGUUCUGUCCCCGUGACCAUCAUCUAGUGCCUGGAAAGACUAGUGACAAGAACUUGUUGCCAACUUCCUAUUACCUCCCUAACAGUUGUGCAAUAAACCCCAUAGGUUAAUUCAGUCUGCCUUUUAAA